rnacentral:tRNA from 1 species
GAGUGAUUAGCUUAAAUGGUAGAGCGUUUCGUUUACACCGAAAAAGUUAAUGGUUCAAGUCCGUUAUCACUCA